GGGAGUAUAACUCAGUGGUAGAGUGUGUGCCUUACAAGCACGAAGUCAUGGGUUCAAAUCCCUUUGUUCUCA
rnacentral:tRNA from 1 species